rnacentral:rRNA from 1 species
ACUAUUAACAACCAAACGUAAGCAUGAUCCCCCAUGCCGCGUGAGUGAUGAAGGCCUUAAGGUCAUAAAGCUCUUUCGCAUGUGAAGAUAAAACGGUAGCAGGUAAAGAAACCCCGGUUAACUCCCCCCAGCAGCCGCGGUAAUACGGAGGGGGUUAGUGUUGUUCGGAAUUACUGGGCGUAAAGCGCACGUAGGCGGACUGGAAAGUUGGGGGUGAAAUCCCAGGGCUCAACCCUGGAACUGCCUCCAAAACUAUCAGUGUAGAGUUCGAGAGAGGUGAGUGGAAUUCCGAGUGUAGAGGUGAAAUUUGUAGAUAUUAGGAGGAACACCAGUGGCGAAGGCGGCUCACUGGCUCGAUACUGACGCUGAGGUGCGAAAGUGUGGGGAGCAAACAGGAUUAGAUACCCUGGUAGUCCACACCGUA